rnacentral:rRNA from 1 species
AGUGAACGCUGGCGGUAGGCGUAACACAUGCAAGUCGAACGGCAGCACAGUAAGAGCUUGCUCUUACGGGUGGCGAGUGGCGGACGGGUGAGGAAUACAUCGGAAUCUACUUUUUCGUGGGGGAUAACGUAGGGAAACUUACGCUAAUACCGCAUACGACCUACGGGUGAAAGCAGGGGAUCUUCGGACCUUGCGCGAUUGAAUGAGCCGAUGUCUGAUUAGCUAGUUGGCGGGGUAAAGGCCCACCAAGGCGACGAUCCGUAGCUGGUCUGAGAGGAUGAUCAGCCACACUGGAACUGAGACACGGUCCAGACUCCUACGGGAGGCAGCAGUGGGGAAUAUUGGACAAUGGGCGCAAGCCUGAUCCAGCCAUACCGCGUGGGUGAAGAAGGCCUUCGGGUUGUAAAGCCCUUUUGUUGGGAAAGAAAAGCAGCAGGUUAAUACCCCGCUGUUCUGACGGUACCCAAAGAAUAAGCACCGGCUAACUUCGUG